rnacentral:tRNA from 1 species
AGGCGCGUAGCUCAGUUGGUUAGAGCACCACCUUGACAUGGUGGGGGUCGUUGGUUCGAGACCAAUCGCGCCUA